UCUAGGGCGGCAGCAGUGGGGAAUAUUGGACAAUGGGCGAAAGCCUGAUCCAGCCAUGCCGCGUGUGUGAAGAAGGCCUUCGGGUUGUAAAGCACUUUCAGUGGGGAAGAAAGCCUUGGGGCUAAUACCCUCGAGGAAGGACAUCACCCACAGAAGAAGCACCGGCUAACUCCGUGCCAGCAGCCGCGGUAAUACGGAGGGUGCGAGCGUUAAUCGGAAUUACUGGGCGUAAAGCGCGCGUAGGCGGUCUGAUAAGCCGGUUGUGAAAGCCCCGGGCUCAACCUGGGAACGGCAUCCGGAACUGUCAGGCUAGAGUGCAGGAGAGGAAGGUAGAAUUCCCGGUGUAGCGGUGAAAUGCGUAGAGAUCGGGAGGAAUACCAGUGGCGAAGGCGGCCUUCUGGACUGACACUGACGCUGAGGUGCGAAAGCGUGGGUAGCAAACAGGAUUAGAUACCCGUGUAGUC
rnacentral:rRNA from 1 species